CGGCUAUCUGGACCAGGGCAGCUUCCUCUCGCUGUCACCGCGGGAAUAUUGGGUGCGCGGGAUCGAAACCCGUAUAGCCCA
rnacentral:tRNA from 1 species